rnacentral:lncRNA from 1 species
UGGAGAGAAAAUUUAGGGAUUUGGAUAGUGGGAGUGGUUGGACGAUUUUAGGAGAAUUUUGAGGGAUUUGGGGAUAAUGGGGCUGAAUUUUUUUAUUUUAUUUUAUUUUUUGUUAUUUUGUUAUUUUCAAAUUCCCAAAGUUCUUCCAUCAUUCUGUCGUUUCUUUUCCCCUAGCUUUGCUGAACCUUUGCCAAAGUUUCUUUUUCUGCUCCAUUCUUGUCGAUUUUGGCCAUUGGUUUACCUUUUCUCUUUUUGUUUUCCGGAGUUGCA